AGUGAACGCUGGCGGUAGGCCUAACACAUGCAAGUCGAACGGCAGCACAGUAAGAGCUUGCUCUUACGGGUGGCGAGUGGCGGACGGGUGAGGAAUACAUCGGAAUCUACUUUUUCGUGGGGGAUAACGUAGGGAAACUUACGCUAAUACCGCAUACGACCUACGGGUGAAAGCAGGGGAUCUUCGGACCUUGCGCGAUUGAAUGAGCCGAUGUCGGAUUAGCUAGUUGGCGGGGUAAAGGCCCACCAAGGCGACGAUCCGUAGCUGGUCUGAGAGGAUGGUCAGCCACACUGGAACUGAGACACGGUCCAGACUCCUACGGGAGGCAGCAGUGGGGAAUAUUGGACAAUGGGCGCAAGCCUGAUCCAGCCAUCCCGCGUGGGUGAAGAAGGCCUUCGGGUUGUAAAGCCCUUUUGUUGGGAAAGAAAAGCAGCAGGUUAAUACCCCGCUGUUCUGACGGUACCCAAAGAAUAAGCACCGGCUAACUUCGUG
rnacentral:rRNA from 1 species